GAAAGUUUUAUCAAGAGUUAGGGGUCGAUUGGGAGGCCAGCAGAGAGGGCAGGAGGAGUUGCAGGAAUUGUACCUGCUGCUGCUGUGCCAUUAACAAAGCUCGAAGAACACGAAGAACACACCAGCAUAGACAGUCGUUUAUAACAGUGUCAACGACUAGCGUCCGAGGGUCUUAAAAACAGCAGCGUCAACAGCAGCCGUGAGACGGCGGGUUGAUAUUUCCAAUGAUGUCGAGUCCCCAGCUGUAAAAGGGCCACGGACUGCUUAUUGAAUGCAGGGGAGUCGACGGUACAUGGAUAAGUUUUCCGUGAAUUUGGAAUUUUUGGCAUCUCUGGAAGAAAACAGUUGCAUCAUCCUCCAUUGGCACAUGUGAUGUCGGUCAAUGCUAAGGGUUCUGCCGUGGAACAUGACACAUGAAUAAAAAAAAAGGAUUGUGCGCGAGGAUGUGGUUGAAGCUCAACAUAGGAAUUCAGCCAGUGAAGAUUCAACAUUUUUGUUUAUGAAAAACAAACAUUGCAAUUUGUACAUAUACAAAGAAAAUUGCCAACUAAAUUGGUGAGUUAUGUUAACAUUAGUAGUAUUUCACUAUAUUGGAUAUGCCAGAGAAAAUGUCUAAUAUAU